UACGUAGGGGGCGAGCGUUGUCCGGAGUUACUGGGCGUAAAGGGCAUGCAGGCGGUCGGACGCGUUUCGGGUGACAGCGGGUGGCUUAACUACCCGAGUGGUCGAAAGACGGUUUGACUUGAGGACGCGAGAGGGACACGGAAUUCCGGGUGGAGUGGUGAAAUGCGUAGAGAUCCGGAGGAACACCGAAGGCGAAGGCAGUGUCCUGGCGCGUAACUGACGCUGAGGUGCGAAAGCGUGGGGAGCAAACGGG
rnacentral:rRNA from 1 species